AGCAGCCGCGGUAAUUCCAGCUCCAAUAGCGUAUAUUAAAGUUGUUGCAGUUAAAAAGCUCGUAGUUGAAUUUCGGGGUUAGUACGCUGGUCGUGCCUUCGGUAUGUACUGGUGUUUCUGAUUCCUACCUUCUGAAGAACCGUCAUGUCAUUAAUUUGGUGUGGCGGGGAAUCAGGACUGUUACUUUGAAAAAAUUAGAGUGUUUAAAGCAGGCUCGCGCUUGAAUACAUUAGCAUGGAAUAAUGAAAUAGGACGUUCGAUCCUAUUUUGUUGGUUUCUAGGAUUGACGUAAUGAUUAAUAGGGAUAGUUGGGGGCAUUAGUAUUCAAUUGUCAGAGGUGAAAUUCUUGGAUUUAUUGAAGACUAACUACUGCGAAAGCAUUUGCCAAGGAUGUUUUCAUUAAUCAAGAACGAAAGUUAGGGGAUCGAAGACGAUCAGAUACCGUCGUAGUCUUAACCAUAAACUAUGCCGACUAGGGAUCGGAUGAUGUUAAUUUUUAAUGACUCAUUCGGCGCCUUAC
rnacentral:rRNA from 1 species